ensembl:lncRNA
UGGGGAAACUGAGGCAAGGAAGAAGUAACAGUAUGCAGAGCAACACAGCACUCUACUGACAACAUUGGGAACAGGCUGUACCUUUCUUGAUUAUUUCUCGGGGAGCAGACACCUGCUCCAAGUUCUCUUCUUGGGAGCAGCUGGGAAUCCCUGUGAAAAGCUUUCUUCAGUUCUUGAGGAGCUUGUGGUUGUGGAGCUGCAAUGAUCUUAGAGGACUUGUUCCAGCUACAUUCAUGCUGAGUAGGACCUCAUUCAGCAAACAGCCUCUCAGUAAUCAAUAUGCCUGCGGGGGAGGAAAUACAGUGUGCCAGGUCACACAGUGCCAGAUUGCUCAUGCAGAACACCAUUUCACUUACUGGGUUUUCCAGGGCAGCAUCAGAGUUUAUUUGGUGUUUUGUGGAAGAGAUGCUCGCUAGACCUCAGGGUCAUGCACUACUUUGCAAGCUGGCUAUCCAGAAUUGCUUGCUCUGGAAAAUCCUGGAUGUGUCUCAUAACUGUGUCAGAGGAACAAAGGACAACGCCAUCGACCUGGAGCACAUCACUAAACAGGAGCUGAAUUACUGCUUUCUGUUAGACACCGAAUGAUUGUCACUGGGACUACAUCCAGCUACCUGUGAGGGAUCUCCAGGAAGCCUGACACAAGAACUUUUGCAUUAGUGAAAAUGAAGUGCUCUGUUGAAGGCAUUACUUUCAGGAGACUGAAGGGAAAGGAGGGAUUCAAUGUCAUUUCACUUCCUGAAGCACAGUCUGGAGAGCGCACCUGAAGAACUGCAAGUGUUAGAUGCUCCCACAGAGCAAAGGCAUACGCCACUGGAAAAGCCCUCCUCGUGCUGACAAGCAGAUAAAAAUUUUCUAGAUGCCUCAGUUCUGGCCUGUGGAAUAAGACAACAGGGAAGGAUACAAGAAAGAAUGAAGCAGCAGCACAGCUUACUGUUGUUCAUGUUGCUGAGGUGACUCAUGAUCCUUCAAGGUACUUCACACUAACCACCAGUAGAUGAGAAGCUUCAGCACAUUGCAUACAGAAUCAUCUCCAAGACAGUAGUAGCAGCAGGAUUUGUCUCAUCUGGCCGCCACUGAAUCGGACACUCAUCGUACAGGAGAAUAAAGCUGGGACUGACUCCAAAAGACCUUCCAAUUCCCCCUGUGUUUUAGUCCAAGAGGACUCUAUUACCAUUAGUGUGGGAGGAAUGAGACCUUGUAUUGAAUGAGCUCAAGGACCUCUGCGGAAUGAGGCAGAUACUGAGCUCUGAAGAAGCGCAGCGUGGGGAUUGAUUCCAGACACCUUUUUGCACCCCACAAACAGCAUCUUGGAUUUGCCCACCAGUUGUAAGAUAUUGACCACUGCCAUCAGACAGCUGUCUGUCACUGCUGAGCUGAUUCCAGCCUGCAGCUCUUGCUCACUGCAGCCUUGCCCCACAUGAAUACAUAAAAUAUUGCUUCUGGCAGCAAGCUGGGGACACCUAUCCGUCUGCACUGAGGAAAGUGGAGAGGGUAAACCAUGCAAUGGGGUCAGGAAACUAUAAACUGCAACUGCUACAGAUGCUCUCCUUCCACUGAAUAAGACUGCAUGUAUCACCCUGACCAUGGCAGCACCUGCAAUGUGGCUGGUUCACAACAUAUUCCUAAUGGAGACACCUGCUCAUUGAACAAAAAUGGUUCAUUCCAAAACAGCAGCAUUUCGGUGCUGCUGUCCCACUCUGCUGCUUCAUCAGAGUAAAAGCUGGAGCACCCGUGUUCUCUGUGGGGUGGGCUUCCUCGGGGAGCUGUCACUUCACAUCUGAGACUAAAAACCCUCCAUGUAUUUAAGCAAGGAAGUGGGGAGGGUAUGUGUGCAUUUCAAAUAGACACAGUCAUUCGUUGAGACUACGACGGAAGAAUAGCUGUGGUCAGAGAAUGGACAGAGAGCCUGUGGGACACAAACGCCACUGGCAAAAGAAAAACUAGCAGAGAAGGGGAUCUGCAGCCCGAGAGGCAUCAGCACAGCAUGCUGACCUGCACACAUCCUCUGCCCACUGCAAACAGGCAGCUCGCUGCCAGCACGUGGCCACAAUAGUGCUCCAGAAGCAGCAGCUACUCACUGCCACGGCUUCCUGCCUAUUACAGUAACAUUAUUAAUCAUUUCAGGACUUCAUAAUGUUUUGACGGACAGAUAGCGUGAGGUUGGAUCUAAUAACAUCUGUUGCUACUAUUCAAGUUUUGCAUUAUUAAAUCAGAUCAAAACUGGCAGAAUCUCACCUUUAGCAGAUCUGAUAUUUCUGGGGACAGCCAAAACUUUUUAAAAGGAGCUAAUGGUUAUUCACCCUUUGAAAAUAAAUACCCAACUCCACUUGGAGGUCACUAGAGAGGACAGCGACGUUUUCCUUUGUAAAAUCAAUGUAAUUACUGAAAAUCCUACAACAGCAAAAAAAAGAACAAGCGAACCAAGUCUCCACCGUGAGGAUAAGGGGCCAACCCCUGUGCUGGCGUAAAGAGACUUCGGUCUGAGGAGUUCAGAAGCAGAGCUGUGCUCAAGAGAGGACUUGAUUUUGUCUAUUCAUAUUGAUUUGCAUCAUCUGAAGAUCUGCCCCUAUAUCCCUAUAAGAUUAGGAAUGCAUAGUGCUGUGAAGUGAACUGUAUAAUUCAAUAUUUUAUCUUUCCUUCAGGCAGGCAGGCAGGAAGUAUGCUCCAAGGUAAGAACUAAUCAGUAGAGUUGAGAGAAUAAUUUACAGUGGAAUAAUUUACUCAAUGAAUUUAGCUUCUUAUCUGCUCAGAGACUUUGCAGCUCUGGAAAGCAGAAGACAUAAUUGUGGGGUGUCUAUUGCUCGCAGUAUCUCAGGCCAAUGGCUGCACGUCGGGCUGGGCUGUGUAGGGCUGAUUAAUGCUAGGGCCUUUCCUCCCUGACAGGGACUGUAAUUUCCUAACUAGAAGGAACUGAAGAAACCCGAAGCACCUACACCUCUCCUGUGCAGGCUUGGAUCAGCCUUACUUUAGCCUUAGUUUCUCACUGCAGAAAGUCACGUUGGCAGCAGUGCUUCACAGAAUCAUAGAAUCACAGAUUCAUUACAGUUGGAAAAUGAUCUCUAAGAUCAUCCAGUCCGAACCCUAACCCAUUCCCACCAUGCCUACUAACCUGUCCUUCUGUACAUCUCCACAGUUCUUUAAAACCUCCAGGGACAGUGAUUCCACCAUCUCUGUGGGUCUGUUGGCAAACAGAGGAGAACAGCAAAGAUGCUGACAGGCAGCAGAUGAGCAGGUGAUCAAAGGGUCUUCCCAGUACAAGCUGCACACUGGAGCGUGUGUGUAAGAAAUGAAAUACAUUUUUUUCCAGUCUUUCUAUGACUCAUAUGGAUAGCAAAAUGAGAAAAAAAGUACAUGUGUCUUAUCACACUGCAAGGAUUAUCUGUCCCCUCUGAGACCACCUCCGCCUGUCACGUACACAUUUUUACAAGAAUUAAAACUCUAUUACAGCCAUAUAGCACAGAUACUGUUUUGUAGCUUCCUAAGAGCCAUCACAUGCAGGAAACAAGCACAAACCCAACACACACUGAGUGCAUCAGCAUUAGCCUCACUGGGAAGAAGCAGCAUUCAUUUCUAGUGGGGCAGCCAGCACAGAAACCCCACAAACCACCGGGAAAUGCUGAUGUCUGUGCCAGAGAGCGCGACUCCCAGGAAAAGGGGCACACACUGGCACCUGGCCCCGACAGGGCUGCCAGGAAGGAAGCCUCAGCUUUCCCCUGUCUAGACGUACCAUCACCACGUGAGCCAUCUCCUGCCGUCAUCCCCUGGGGGCUUCCAGCAGACAUGCCGGGAAGCGGCUUUCCCCGAUAACACUCUUUGGAGGACGCAGUUUCAGCAAGUCCUUGAACAACAGCAAAAACCCAAAAAGAUUUAAAUCAGUUAGGCAGAGCCCCAGGGGAGUGUGGGGUAGAAGCCAGCUGGUUAUACGGGCGAAGGCAAAGGCAGAGGUACAAGGAGCUGGGAUCAAAGCAGAACGAGGCCAACUGGGUGACCACCAGUUUGCAGGGCUCCUGCACCCAAGGGCUCGCUAUCGUAUCCCCUCUUCUGCAGGGGAAGACUGACUUAGAUUCAAACACAGCAAAUUUAGAAUCAAACGUAGCUCUGUUCCUUCUGCCCUGCCUUUGGCAUCUGAUGUUAUAUCUGUGUAUUUGAUGCUGUUUCUUUUGACUCAGAAUACUAGGUUUCCUCCUCAGGAACUGGGGCCGACAGACCUAUUUAAUCUUUCAUAUUGGCCACAGUGAUAACUUCUUAUUAAAUAUUUCAUGUUGUUGUACCGAUAAAGAGCAUAAGACAAAACUUGGCAUGAAUACUAUCCAGAAGAGCAUCUGCUUAAAAAUAAAACACUUGGAAGAAUCGGGAAGGAAGUAAGUAGCCAUGUGGUUGGAAAAAAUGAUUCAAUGUAAGCAGGUCAAGCCUAUAAUGAAGUGCUUAUAAACAACAAUAAAAACAUCUGAAC